UGAACGCUGGCGGUAUGCUUAACACAUGCAAGUCGAACGGUAGCAGCAGAGCUUGCUCUGGCUGACGAGUGGCGGACGGGUGCGUAACGCGUGGGAAUUUACCUUGUAGUGGGGGAUAGCCCGGAGAAAUCCGGAUUAAUACCGCAUAAUCUCUACGGAGCAAAGUGGGGGAUCUUCGGACCUCACGCUAUUAGAUGAGCCCGCGUUGGAUUAGCUUGUUGGUGGGGUAAUGGCUCACCAAGGCGACGAUCCAUAGCUGGUUUGAGAGGAUGAUCAGCCACACUGGGACUGAGACACGGCCCAGACUCCUACGGGAGGCAGCAGUGGGGAAUAUUGGACAAUGGGCGCAAGCCUGAUCCAGCAAUACCGCGUGUGUGAAGAAGGCCUGAGGGUUGUAAAGCACUUUCAAUAGAGACGAAAAGCCUAGGGUUAAUAGCUCUGGGUCUUGACUUAACCUAUAGAAGAAGCACCGGCUAACUCC
rnacentral:rRNA from 1 species